GCUCGAAAGAGAGCCGUAAUACAGGUGCUGCAUGGCUGUCGUCAGCUCGUGUCGUGAGAUGUUGGGUUAAGUCCCGCAACGAGCGCAACCCUUGUCAUUAGUUGCUACAUUCAGUUGGGCACUCUAAUGAGACUGCCGGUGACAAGCCGGAGGAAGGUGGGGAUGACGUCAAGUCCUCAUGGCCCUUAUAGGUGGGGCUACACACGUCAUACAAUGGCUGGUACAAAGGGUUGCCAACCCGCGAGGGGGAGCCAAUCCCAUAAAGCCAGUCGUAGUCCGGAUCGUAGUCUGCAACUCGACUACGUGAAGUCGGAACCGCUAGUAAUCGUGGAUCAGAAUGUCACGGUGAAUACGUUCCCGGGUCUU
rnacentral:rRNA from 1 species